AAAAAAAACAUUAUUUGUGCCAUUUUGCUAAAUUAAUUAAAAGUUGAACUGUGAAAUUGGUCUCCAAACAGGCAAUCUUAAAUUGCACUUUACAAAAUAAAAACGAUGUACUUUGUGUUUGUACAGUUGUGCGUGAAAACAUGUAUUGGUUGUUCAGAUAGUUAAAUAAGGUUGAAAAUAAUAAUGCUAAAGGCAUUGCUUUCCAAUACAAUUAGGACUCAUAGUAAAAAGAAUCAAGUACUUAGUAAAGAUGUUUUAUCAAAUACAAAAUGUUUCAUAAAAAUCAAG